rnacentral:tRNA from 1 species
GCCGGCGUAGCUCAAUGGCAGAGCACCGGUUUUGUAAACCGGUGGUUGCGAGUUCGAUUCUCGCCGCCGGCUCCA